AAAGUACUCCCUCCGUCCCAAAAUUCUUGUCUUAGAUUUGUCUAGAUACAGAUGUAUCAAGUCACAUUUUAGUAUUAGAUACAUCCGUAUCUAGACAAAUCUAAGACAAGAAAUUUGGGACAGAGGGAGUAGUGG
rnacentral:pre_miRNA from 1 species